AAUCAUCAAAUAAAGAGAAAAAAAAGAAAUAAAAAGAAGUAGUAUGAUAGUUAUUUGCUUUUACCUUUUUCUUUGCUUUUCUUUUUGUUUCUUUUGGUUUUCUUUUGGUUUUCUUCUUAGAUCUUUUUCUUGUAUGGGAAGGAAGAAGAAGAAGAGGAGAAGUAGUAGUA
rnacentral:ribozyme from 1 species